rnacentral:rRNA from 1 species
CCUACGGGUGGCAGCAGUGGGGAAUAUUGGACAAUGGGGGAAACCCUGAUCCAGCGACGCCGCGUGAGUGAAGAAGUAUUUCGGUACGUAAAGCUCUAUCAGCAGGAAAGAAAAUGACGGUACUCGACUAAGAAGCCCCGGCUAACUACGUGCCAGCAGCCGCGGGAACACGGAGGGGGCCAGUGUUAUCCGGAUUUACCGGGGGUGAAGGGAGCGUAGACGGCAGCGCAGGUCUGGAGGGAAAUGCUGGGGCCCAAACCCGGAACAGCUGUGGAAACUGUGACGCGGGAGUGCAGGAGAGGUAAGCGGAAUGCGUGGUGGAGCGGUGAAAUGCGUAGAUAUCGGGAAGAACCCCGACGGCGAAGGCAGCUUACUGGACUCAAACUGACGUGGAGGCACGAAGGCGUGGGGAGCGAACAGGAUUAGAUACCCGGGUAGUC